UUUAUACGUCGAAUUUUGGUCGCGUCGAAUGCAAUUAUAAACAAUGGAUAAUGAGAUGAUAAAUCUUAUUAAAGUUCAUUAUAUAUUGUUUAAAUUGCAUUCGACGCGACCGAAAUUCGACGUAUAAA